UCAUUUCAAGCACGCCUCUCUCUCUCUUUUUUUUUUGGUUUUAGAAAUUGAAUAAUAUAUAUUAUAAAGAUAUUCACAUAUUAAGAAUCUAAAAUAUUCACAAGAAUCUCAUUGAUUAAGUGUCGGCAGAAUGUUGGCAUCGUUGGUGUUUCUUGCCAUCGACCUCACAAUCAUCGAUCACUCAGAACACAAAUUAAAUGACAACAAAUUUUGUAUUAUUAUUUUGCUCACUUUGUAUUUCAUUGUCACAUUGUAAACAUACAAGUUUGUAUUUCUUUUUAUUUUGUAUUCAUCGUAAUGGUAUGCCAACAAAGUCACAUUUGUAUUCCAAUUGAAGUGAGUAUUAUAUGUGCCCAUUUUGUAUU